rnacentral:rRNA from 1 species
UCACUUUCAACAACGGAUCUCUUGGCUCUCGCAUCGAUGAAGAACGUAGCGAAGUGCGAUAAGUAGUGUGAAUUGCAGAAUUCCGUGAAUCAUCGAAUCUUUGAACGCAAAUUGCACUCUCCUCGGGGAGUAUGCCUGUUUGAGGGUCAGU